rnacentral:rRNA from 1 species
GAUGAACGCUGGCGGCGUGCCUAAUACAUGCAAGUCGAGCGAACAGAUAAGGAGCUUGCUCCUUUGACGUUAGCGGCGGACGGGUGAGUAACACGUGGGUAACCUACCUAUAAGACUGGGAUAACUUCGGGAAACCGGAGCUAAUACCGGAUAAUAUUUCGAACCGCAUGGUUCGAUAGUGAAAGAUGGUUUUGCUAUCACUUAUAGAUGGACCCGCGCCGUAUUAGCUAGUUGGUAAGGUAACGGCUUACCAAGGCGACGAUACGUAGCCGACCUGAGAGGGGGAUCGGCCACACUGGAACUGAGACACGGUCCAGACUCCUACGGGAGGCAGCAGUAGGGAAUCUUCCGCAAUGGGCGAAAGCCUGACGGAGCAACGCCGCGUGAGUGAUGAAGGUCUUCGGAUCGUAAAACUCUGUUAUUAGGGAAGAACAUACGUGUAAGUAACUGUGCACGUCUUGACGGUACCUAAUCAGAAAGCCACGGCUAACUACGUG